UCCAGUUGGUGGCAGUAAUGCGCUUUCAUAGUCGGUCAAGCAGCCGCCAUUAAACUCCAGAGGAAGAUUUGCACUGGCGGUAACGAGUGCUAACUGCCUACACCCAAACAUGAACGAAAAAUACCUGUGCGUUGUGUGAAAUGGUGGAAAAAGUCCUAUUUCACGGAGUUAUCUUUUCAGUAUCGUUUUGAUAUUAAGCAAUGUUCCGGCGGAAAACACGGUGAGAAAGCUUUUAUAAAUAGCACGUGGAGCGAGGCGAGUUGCUUUGUUUGUUUCUUACAGAAAGCGGUCUGUCGUUUUCUUAAUGCCGAAACGAAGUGUCGGGUGAGAUUUUGUAUUGUAAUCUCUAUUACAUGUGAUGUUCUGAGCUCUUAAAAAUACUCUCAUCUUCUUUGAUUUUUUUCAGACCUGAAAAAUGGCCAAGCCGUACCAGCCAGACCUCACACCAUGGUGCUGAGGAACUCGUCCACCAGGACGAAGAGAAAUUCAGUAAGUUAUGAUUUCACAUUUAGUGAAUAGUGAACACUCGCAUAUUUGUAAGGAAAAUUGAUCUUCCCGUUAUUUUAUUUAUUUUGUUGUAACGCAGUACAGCAAGGCAGAGCGUGGAACGCAUUAAAGAUCUUCAAAAUGGCGGACGGAGGACGGAUCUGAGGACGAAGUCAUGAAGCCGACUCCACAGAAUGGGAGUCACAUUUGUGUCAAUCAGACUCUUCAGGAACGUUCUAAUGUCCGUGAUGAGGACAGAGAUGCAACUGUGUCUGCAUCCAAGACCUACUUCCAGUCAUCCAGAUGUAGCUAAAGAAAGAAGCAGCUGAUGGAGGAAGGCAGAAAGUACUGGCAGCAGAGAAGGUGGCAUUCUGGAAGGAUGGCAGCUAUGAGGCGGUGUCAAGAUGAUGGACUGUGGUGAGGAUGGACCCCAAGUUCCUCCAACCAGGAGCUCAGUGACAUCAGGACUACAAGACAGAAAGAGACGUCAGGUUCACGCUACAGGAGAGAUGUUGGGCCUGUCCUGAACGCAGCAUAAUGUUCAUGUUUGGACAAAAAACACUGCCAGAUGGUCCAGAAAUGGACAAGAAUUUAUGUCUUAUUUUGUG